rfam:Brassica napus, WGS project CCCW01000000 data, contig: 11824
UCACUUACCUGGACAGGGUGUACUCGGGAUCAAGAAGAUGAGUGGCCUAGGCUAGCGACUUCCAUUGCACAUAAAGGAAGGGUGCUUAGGCCUAAGGUCUUCCCAAGUGGAAGAGCCUAUGUCAUAAUUUGUGGCAGAGGGAGUUUGCGUUCGCGCAGCCCCUA